rnacentral:rRNA from 1 species
CUAAACCUACGGGACGCAGCAGUAGGGAAUCUUCCACAAUGGGCGAAAGCCUGAUGGAGCAACGCCGCGUGGGUGAAGAAGGUCUUCGGAUCGUAAAACCCUGUUGUUAGAGAAGAAAGUGCGUGAGAGUAACUGUUCACGUUUCGACGGUAUCUAACCAGAAAGCCACGGCUAACUACGUGCCAGCAGCCGCGGUAAUACGUAGGUGGCAAGCGUUAUCCGGAUUUAUUGGGCGUAAAGGGAACGCAGGCGGGCUUUUAAGUCUGAUGUGAAAGCCUUCGGCUUAACCGCAGUAGAGCAUUGGA